rnacentral:rRNA from 1 species
GAGGAAUAUUGGUCAAUGGGCGAGAGCCUGAACCAGCCAAGUCGCGUGAAGGAAGACGGAUCUAUGGUUUGUAAACUUCUUUUAUACGGGAAUAACGGUCGUUAUGAAUAACGGCGUGAAUGUACCGUAAUGAAUAAGCAUCGGCUAACUCCGUGCCAGCAGCCGCGGUAAUACGGAGGAUGCGAGCGUUAUCCGGAUUUAUUGGGUUUAAAGGGUGCGUAGGUUGUAGAUUAAGUCAGCGGUGAAAGAUUGUCGCUCAACGAUAAUAAUGCCGUUGAAACUGGUCUACUAGCGUGUAAUAGAAGUAGGCGGAAUGCGUGGUGUAGCGGUGAAAUGCAUAGAUAUCACGCAGAACUCCGAUAGCGAAGGCAGCUUACUAAGUUAUAACGGACACUGAAGCACGAAAGCGUGGGGAUCAAACA